UACGGAGGAUCCAAGCGUUAUCCGGAUUUAUUGGGCUUAAAGGGUGCGUAGGCGGCUUAUUAAGUCAGGGGUGAAAGACGGUGGCUCAACCAUCGCAGUGCCUUUGAUACUGAUGAGCUUGAAUACACUUGAGGUAGGCGGAAUGUGACAAGUAGCGGUGAAAUGCAUAGAUAUGUCACAGAACACCAAUUGCGAAGGCAGCUUACUAAGGUGCAAUUGACGCUGAGGCACGAAAGCGUGGGGAUCAAACAGG
rnacentral:rRNA from 1 species